rnacentral:rRNA from 1 species
UACGUAGGGUGCGAGCGUUGUCCGGAAUUAUUGGGCGUAAAGAGCUCGUAGGCGGUUUGUCGCGUCUGCCGUGAAAACCCGAGGCUUAACCUCGUGGCUUGCGGUGGAUACGGGCAGACUAGAGGUAGGUAGGGGAGAAUGGAAUUCCCGGUGUAGCGGUGAAAUGCGCAGAUAUCGGGAGGAACACCGGUGGCGAAGGCGGUUCUCUG